UUCAAUCUAAGUGAGCGUUCCUUUCCAGCCGCCAACCCCCUUGCUUCCUUUUCCCGUUUCCUUCUUUUACAGCGCCCUCUGUCUUCACGUGAAAGGAGCAAAUCAACGGAAUCACUGGCUACAUAGCCCGAUGCCUUUUCUCUUUUCAGGGUGCAUUUUAAUCUAUUGAAUGCAAGAAGAUCAAGGAUUCAGAGUGAAAUUACUUCGUCCUUGGCUACAGAAGAUCAUCUGGUGGCAACAUCUUCCGUCCCCAGAUCAAAUACUUAGAACUUAGUUUUGUUUUAAUGUGGAACCCUUCAGAAUUUUAUAGAUUAUAGUUAAAUGACCGAUUGUACAUUAGAUAGACAAUUGUAUAUUUUAGAAUUAUUUUUUAAAACUAUUUAGAUGAUAAUUUGUAUAAUAAGUGAUAUUCUAAAUUUAUUAUUGUGUAUUUCUAUGGUUU